rnacentral:rRNA from 1 species
GACGAACGCUGGCGGCGUGCUUAACACAUGCAAGUCGAGCGAUGAAGCACCUUCGGGUGUGAAUUAGCGGCGAACGGGUGAGGAACACGUGAGAAAUCUGCCUUCAACACUGGGAUAACUCCGGGAAACCGGGGCUAAUACCGGAUAUGAAACCUGCGGGCAUCCGCGGGUUUGGAAAGUUUUUCGGUUGAAGAUGAUCUCGCGGCCUAUCAGCUUGUUGGUGAGGUAAUGGCUCACCAAGGCGACGACGGGUAGCCGGCCUGAGAGGGCGACCGGCCACACUGGGACUGAGACACGGCCCAGACUCCUACGGGAGGCAGCAGUGGGGAAUAUUGGGCAAUGGAGGAAACUCUGACCCAGCGACGCCGCGUGCGGGAUGACGGCCUUCGGGUUGUAAACCUCUUUCAGUAGGGACGAAGCGCAAGUGACGGUACCUACAGAAGAAGGACCGGCCAACUACGUGCCAGCCGCCGCAGUAA